rnacentral:tRNA from 2 species
CGGUGCCGUAGGCGAUGUGGAACGGCGCGGUGUUCAUGCCGCUGAUCGACGACACCGACACGAUCGAGCCGCGGGCGCCGG